CACGCCGAGGACAGGCUGUGGGGUGUCAAAACCCCAAGAGAAAUCCCCUCCUCGCAGGGCCCAGCGUCCGCCCUCCCCGGCCCAGCACUUUGCGGUGUCUAUAUUUGGCUCUGACUGGUGGUUUUUUUAUUUUUCUAUUGCAGAUCAUAGAGUGACGUUCCAGACUGUUUGCUCGCUGGGGCGGGAGCUGUGUCCGGGCACGACGGGGGUUCUGAUCUCGAUAAAGGCUGCGGCAACAAAGGGAACGUUACCACGGAGUCAAAGUCCAACUGGCUGCGUGGAUUUAAGGUUCUGAGGUUCAACGUUCAGAACAGUGUCAAGAUUGGGAGGCUAUUCUUAUUAGCCGCCUAUAUGCUGCACCCUGCUGAAGUCUGAGCCUCACUCGGCGUCAUGUGGCAGUGAGUUCCACCAGCUCAUUUGCACGGUGUUUAAUUAAAAAAGAAGCGGGUCAAAGUCUGUGCUCGUUCAAAUCGA